rnacentral:rRNA from 1 species
AGUGAACGCUGGCGGUAGGCCUAACACAUGCAAGUCGAACGGCAGCACAGUAAGAGCUUGCUCUUACGGGUGGCGAGUGGCGGACGGGUGAGGAAUACAUCGGAAUCUACUUUUUCGUGGGGGAUAACGUAGGGAAACUUACGCUAAUACCGCAUACGACCUACGGGUGAAAGCAGGGGAUCUUCGGACCUUGCGCGAUUGAAUGAGCCGAUGUCGGAUUAGCUAGUUAGCGGGGUAAAGGCCCACCAAGGCGACGAUCCGUAGCUGGUCUGAGAGGAUGAUCAGCCACACUUGAACUGAGACACGGUCCAGACUCCUACGGGAGGCAGCAGUGGGGAAUAUUGGACAAUGGGCGCAAGCCUGAUCCAGCCAUACCGCGUGGGUGAAGAAGGCCUUCGGGUUGUAAAGCCCUUUUGUUGGGAAAGAAAGGCAGCAGGUUAAUACCCCGCUGUUCUGACGGUACCCAAAGAAUAAGCACCGGCUAACUUCGUG